rnacentral:tRNA from 1 species
AUUCAUAUAAUUCAAAUUUAGAAUAUUGCAUUGAAGCUGCAAAAGUAAUCGUUCGAUUUGUGAAUA